rnacentral:misc_RNA from 1 species
UUUCCGUAGGUGAACCUGCGGAAGGAUCAUUAUUGGAUUUUGAAACUUCAGACUGAUGCUGGCUCUCCUCGGAGGGCAUGUGCACGCUUGUUGUCCAUUAUUUCUCCCACUGUGCACAAAUUGUAGACCUUUCAGUAGGCCUAUGUUGUUUUUCACAAUCUCUGAAUGUAAUAGAAUGGUGUUGAAUCUUGGGAAAUACAAUACAACUUUCAGCAACGGAUCUCUUGGCUCUC